UACGUAGGGGGCAAGCGUUGUCCGGAAUCAUUGGGCGUAAAGCGCGUGUAGGCGGCCCGAUAAGUCCGCUGUGAAAGUCCAGGGCUCAACCCUGGAAUGCCGGUGGAUACUGUCGGGCUCGAGUCCGGAAGAGGCGAGUGGAAUUCCUGGUGUAGCGGUGAAAUGCGCAGAUAUCAGGAGGAACACCAAUGGCGAAGGCAGCUCGCUGGGACGGUACUGACGCUGAGACGCGAAAGCGUGGGGGAGCAAACAGG
rnacentral:rRNA from 1 species